UGGGGAAUAUUGCACAAUGGGCGCAAGCCUGAUGCAGCCAUGCCGCGUGUAUGAAGAAGGCCUUCGGGUUGUAAAGUACUUUCAGCGAGGAGGAAGGCGUUGUGGUUAAUAACCGCAACGAUUGACGUUACUCCCAGAAGAAGCACCGGCUAACUCCGUGCCAGCAGCCGCGGUAAUACGGAGGGUGCAAGCGUUAAUCGGAAUUACUGGGCGUAAAGCGCACGCAGGCGGUCUGUCAAGUCGGAUGUGAAAUCCCCGGGCUCAACCUGGGAACUGCAUCCGAAACUGGCAGGCUUGAGUCUUGUAGAGGGGGGUAGAAUUCCAGGUGUAGCGGUGAAAUGCGUAGAGAUCUGGAGGAAUACCGGUGGCGAAGGCGGCCCCCUGGACAAAGACUGACGCUCAGGUGCGAAAGCGUGGGGAGCAAACA
rnacentral:rRNA from 1 species